rnacentral:ncRNA from 2 species
GAGGCGUCCCGCGACUGGCGCUGAAGAUGGAGUCCCAUCGGGAAGCGGGACGGACCGAUCGGUCCUGCGAGCCGCGCGCCUGGGUGAUCCAU